rnacentral:ncRNA from 1 species
CAGCCGUGACAGGGGCGUCCGGACCGAUCCGGGCUGAGAAGCACCCUUAGAACCUGAACCAGAUCAUGCUGGCGGAGGAAGUCGCGUGCCGUGUCCC